GCUCUCAUUUUAUUUUGUAAUCAUGUAAUCCCCUAUGGAGAACCUUGUACCAAACAAUCCUAGAGAUUGUGUGCAAGGUUCCUAGAGAUUGUACCAGAGAUUCCUAGAGAACAUGUGAAAUCUUCUUAGAGAUUGUACCAUACGGUUCGUUGAAACCAUGUGCGAUCGAAGUAGCGACACAAAGUUUGGUAAUAAUAUUUUUUCUUUUUGUUCUUGUGGUUUGAUCUUAUAUUCCGCGUUCGAUUAAACCUUUGAGUGAUAUCUCGGGUUAUUUGGGACUUACAAGUGGUAUCAGAGCCAUUGAAGCCAUUCAAGGGCUCGGUUUUUUAUAUCACUCGAAGAACAAGAAGAAGGAUUCGCACAGUGACGGGGGAUGCAUGUUCGUCAAAAGGGAGAUCUCUGGUUCACAAGAUUCGAAGAACACGAAGAACACACUUGAAGAUUCGAAGAACAACUAAAAAUUCCGUAUUUGAUUUGUUGGUGGAAGAGAGAGACUGUGUUUGCUGAAUUUUAGGAAACUAUUGGUUGAAAGGAUAUUUUGAAAUUUUUUUUUUCUAAUUUAUCCUUGAUUUUGG
rnacentral:lncRNA from 1 species